rnacentral:rRNA from 1 species
CAGUAGCCGCGGGAAUACGUAGGGUGCGAGCGUUAAUCGGAAUUACUGGGCGUAAAGCGUGCGCAGGCGGUCUUGUAAGACAGGCGUGAAAUCCCCGGGCUCAACCUGGGAAUGGCGCUUGUGACUGCAAAGCUAGAGUGCGGCAGAGGGGGAUGGAAUUCCGCGUGUAGCAGUGAAAUGCGUAGAUAUGCGGAGGAACACCGAUGGCGAAGGCAAUCCCCUGGGCCUGCACUGACGCUCAUGCACGAAAGCGUGGGGAGCAAACAGGAUUAGAUACCCCUGUAGUCCCUGUCUCUUAUAA